rnacentral:rRNA from 1 species
UACGUAGGGGGGCAAGCGUUGUCCGGAAUCAUUGGGCGUAAAGAGCGCGUAGGCGGCCCUGUAAGUCCGCUGUGAAAGUCAAGGGCUCAACCCUUGGAUGCCGGUGGAUACUGCAGGGCUAGAGUCCGGAAGAGGCGAGUGGAAUUCCUGGUGUAGCGGUGAAAUGCGCAGAGUAUCAGGAGGAACACCGAUGGCGAAGGCAGCUCGCUGGGACGGUAGCUGACGCUGAGACGCGAAAGCGUGGGGAGCAAACAGG